rnacentral:misc_RNA from 1 species
GAUGAAGAACGUAGCGAAAUGCGAUAAGUAAUGUGAAUUGCAGAAUUCAGUGAAUCAUCGAAUCUUUGAACGCACAUUGCGCCCGCUAGUAUUCUGGCGGGCAUGCCUGUUCGAGCGUCAUUUCAACCAUCAAGCCCCAGGCUUGUGUUGGGGGCCUGCGGCUGCCGCAGCCCCUGAAAAGCAGUGGCGGGCUCGCUGUCAUUCCGAGCGCAGUAGUUACAUCUCGCUCCGGGCGUGGCGGUGGGCACCUGCCGUGAAACACUCCUUCUAAGGUUGACCUCGGAUCAGGUAGGAAUACCCGCUGAACUUAAGCAUAUCAAUAAGCGGA